AGCGAACGCUGGCGGCAGGCCUAACACAUGCAAGUCGAACGGACCCUUCGGGGUUAGUGGCGGACGGGUGAGUAACACGUGGGAACGUGCCUUUAGGUUCGGAAUAGCUCAUGGAAACGGGUGGUAAUGCCGAAUGUGCCCUUCGGGGGAAAGAUUUAUCGCCUUUAGAGCGGCCCGCGUCUGAUUAGCUAGUUGGUGAGGUAAAGGCUCACCAAGGCGACGAUCAGUAGUUGGUCUGAGAGGAUGACCAGCCACAUUGGGACUGAGACACGGCCCAAACUCCUACGGGAGGCAGCAGUGGGGAAUCUUGCGCAAUGGGCGAAAGCCUGACGCAGCCAUGCCGCGUGAAUGAUGAAGGUCUUAGGAUUGUAAAAUUCUUUCACCGGGGACGAUAAUGACGGUACCCGGAGAAGAAGCCCCGGCUAACUUCGUGCCAGCCGCCGCGGUAAAAC
rnacentral:rRNA from 1 species